rnacentral:rRNA from 1 species
UGGGGAAUAUUGCACAAUGGGGGGAACCCUGAUGCAGCAACGCCGCGUGAGUGAAGAAGGUUUUCGGAUUGUAAAGCUCUGUUAGCAGGGAAGAGGAAGGACGGUACCUGCAGAGGAAGCCACGGCUAACUACGUGCCAGCAGCCGCGGUAAUACGUAGGUGGCAAGCGUUGUUCGGAAUAACUGGGCGUAAAGGAUGCGUAGGCGGUUAAAUAAGUUAUAUGUUAAAUAUAUAGGCUUAACCUGUAGAAAGCAUAUAAAACUGUUUAACUAGAGUACAGGAGAGGUAAGUGGAAUUCCUAGUGUAGCGGUGAAAUGCGUAGAGAUUAGGAAGAACACCAGUGGCGAAGGCGACUUACUGGACUGUAACUGACGCUGAGGCAUGAGAGCAUGGGGAGCAAACAGG